rnacentral:snRNA from 1 species
UAGUGUUACAACUCUUUUAGAAUUUGUCUAGCAGGCUAUCCAGUUUUCGCCAAAAAGCUCCC